UUGCUAAGCAUACAUUUUAUUAUAGGGUCGGAAGCAAUAUUUCUCAAUUACCAUUCAUUCAUUCUUAUGAAGGAUAAGUGAAUUUCAUUUCAAUGGAAAAAGAAGGCAGUCAGUUUUCCAGGUUUACAUUAGACCUAAAUCAAAAAUCCAGUACAAUUCUUGGUGCAAAGAGUAAAAAAAUUGUGUGGGACAGCCUGUGUUUUUGAGCUCUACUCUUCUGUUUCACAGAAACAGCAGAGGCUGCAGGUCACGAUUCCAUAGGUCAGUGUCUGGCCUCUUAGUUGUCACACAGCUUCUUCCAAACUUGGAACUGUACUUGGGCGCUUCAAAAACUAAUAUUGGGGUUUGCCCAUCCCAGCUAGUCUGUUUGGGUUCCUGGCCCUGUUCAAAGGCUGUGAUGUCACAACCACAGCUCACCACUGCCAGGUGCAUCUUCAGGCGCUCUGCCAGCCAGUGGAGCCACAUGAAGGGACAGCCCAAAGAGAGGGAGAGGAAACCACUGACUUCUGCAAAUAAGUCAGUAAGUGAGCAAAAAGAAAGAAGAAUGGUGAAGUCCUUGCAGCCCGUUGCAGGCAUGAAGAGUACCACCUCUACACCCCAAAAUUGUUGAAAAACAUCCAGUACCAAACAACUAAGUGAGGAGCUUCAUAAGAAGAAUGUUUUUUUUCUGCAGAAAAUGACCCGAUGCUUUCUUAGUACAACUGUGACCAGUUUGCAGGUCUCCUCUCCUGUUGUAUGCGUGCCUGGUUGCAGGAAGGUGUGGUGCACAGACUAAAGGACAGCACCAUCUUUCAUUCUCCCAAGCAGUGAAACAGAAAUAUUUUCCAGAGUCUGAUCAUGGGGAAGAGAAGCUUUCUGCUGAUGGUGAUCCAAGGGAUAUUUGCAGCCCCAUUUAAAGCACUGUGUGGGCAUUCGGAUAGUUUGCAGAUCUUGCAAAAGGGAGACCAGGAAUGUGGUUCCAGGAAUAAUCUUCUUUUAUUCCAUCAGAUACAUUCUGCAGCCCAUUCCAUAAAGAUGACAAUAAUAAAAAAGCAAGGGACACAAUAUAAGAAACAACUUUCUUUCUGUUAGGGCGGAUGGCUUUAUAGAAUAGAUACUGAAGCAGCAAAGAACUGAAAGUGGUUUCUGAGAAGUGUUGACCUCCUUUCGUGCCACUUACUGUGAAUUAAAGCUGUGACUGAGAACUAGUUUGGGCAUGUGGUACAGCACUUACAGCAACUGCUGCCAAGGAACAAGAUUUGUGUUUCUAAGGAAAUGCAACAAAAGAAAAUGGUUUAAGAGGCAGUGGCUGUCACUGUGUAAAAAAAAAGUAUCUAUUUAUGUACGGAUAGAAAGAAAGGCCGAAUUGGGUUAUUCUAUAUGCAGGUUAGUGUACGUGUGAACUCUUGUAAUGUGAGAUUCAAAAUCAAACUACUGUGGAUUGUGCAGGGUUUAGCAUAUCUCACACUGUUAGAGUUUACAAAGUUGAGCUAUCUAAAAGCAGUUGUGACGUA